rnacentral:lncRNA from 1 species
GUAGUUUUGCAGUUUUUAGGGGGUUUCAGAGCUUUUGGGAGAAAUUUUGGGGUAGUUUCAGGAAAUUACAGGGUUUUUGGGGAGAAAUUUUGGGGGAUUUUUGGGGGAUUUUGGGGUAAGUUCUGGGUAAUUUUGGGGAGUGUUUUGGGGUGAAUCUGGGGUGAUUUUGGGGGUGUUUUGGAGUGAUUUUGGGGCUGUUUUUGAGGCUGUUUUGGGGUGAUUUUUGGGGUGAUUUUGGAGAUGUUUUUGGGAUGUUUUUGGGAUGUUUUUGAGGUGAUUUUGGGGAUAUUUUUGGGAUGAUUUUGAGGUGAAUUUGGGGGUAUUUUUGGGGUAGUUUUGGGGAUGUUUUUGGGGAUAUUUUGGGGAUGUUUUUAGGGUGAUUUUGAGAAUAUUUUGCGGAUGUUUUGGGGAUGUUUUUGGGGUGAUUUUGGGGUGAUUUUGGGGUGAUUUUGAGGAUGUUUUUGGGAUAAUUUUGAGGAUAUUUUGCGGAUGUUUUGGGGAUAUUUCAGGGAUGUUUUUGCGGAUGUUUUUGGGGAUAUUUUGCGGAUGUUUUGGGGAUAUUUUGGGGAUGUUUUUGGGGUGGUUUUGGGUGAUUUUGGGCCCUCUGCCAGGAUCGGAGUCUCGGUGAAGCAGCAGUUCACAGAGGAGGAGAUCUACAAGGACAGGGACAGCCAGAUCGCCGCCAUCGAGANUUUUGGGGUGAUUUCCCUCAAACCCCACAGUCUGACCCAAUUUUGGGGUUUUUUGCCCCGUUUUCCCCAGAGCUGACCCCAAACCCUGCAGUGCUGACCCCAUUUUGGGGUGGUUUCCCACAGUCUGACCCAAUUUUGGGGUUUUUUGCCCCAUUUCCCCCAGAGCUAACCCCAAACCCUUGCUCUGACCCAAUUUUGGGGUUUUUUGCCCUGUUUCCCAGAGCUGACCCCAAACCCCACAGACUGACUCCAAACCCUGCAGUGCUGACCCCAUUUUGGGGUGGUUUCCCACAGUCUGACCCAAUUUUGGGGUUUUUUGCCCCAAACCCCACAGACUGACCCCAAACCCUUGGUCUGACCCAAUUUUGGGGUUUUUUGCCCCAUUUUCCCCAGUGCUCCUGGACCCUGCCGAUGAGAAGCUGCUGGAGGAGGAGAUCCAGGCGCCCACCAGCUCCAAGAGGUGACCCCAGACCCAAAUCCGCCCAAAUCGCAAACGGUUUUGGGGCCAUUUGGGGCAAUUUUGGGGCAAUUUUGGGGGUGAUUUUUGGGGCAGUUCUGGGUUGAUUUUGGGGUGAUUCUGGGGUGAUUUUGGGGGUGAUUUUGGUGUAAUUUUGGGGGUGAUUUUGAGUUGAUUCUGGGAUGAUUUUGGGGGUGAAUUUUGGGGCAGUUCUGGCUAAUUUUGGGGUGAUUCUGGGUUGAUUUAAGGCUGAUUCUGGUGUGAUUUUGGGUUGAUUCUGUGCUAGUUUUGGUCUGAUUCUGGGUUGAUUUUGGUGUAAUUCUGGGCAGAUUCUGGGCUGAUUCUGGGUUAGUUUUGGUCUGGUUUUGGGUUGAUUUUGGGUGAUUUUGGGUUGAUUUUGGGCUGAUUCUGGUGUGAUUUUGGGUGGAUUCUGUGCUGGUUUUGGGCUGAUUCUGGGUUGAUUUUGGUGUAAUUUUGGGCUGACUCUGGGCAGAUUCUGGGUUAGUUUUGGUCUGGUUUUGGGUUGAUUCUGGGUGAUUUUGGUGUCAUUUUGGGCAGACUCUGAGCCGAUUCUGGGUUGGUUUCGGUCCCGUUUUGGGCUGAUUCCGGGUGAUUUUGG